rnacentral:rRNA from 1 species
CACGUAGGGCGCAAGCGUUGUCCGGAAUUAUUGGGCGUAAAGAGCUCGUAGGCGGUCUGUUGCGUCCGCUGUGAAAACUUGGGGCUUAACCCUGAGCUUGCGGUCGAUACGGGCAUGACUGGAGUUCGGCAGGGGAGACUGGAAUUCCUGGUGUAGCGGUGGAAUGCGCAGAUAUCGGGAAGAACACCUAUGGCGAAGGCAGCUCUCUGGGACGGUACUGACGCUGAGACGCGAAAGCGUGGGGAGCAAACAGGAU